AUGUUCUCUACAUCUCUACUGCUCCUGCUGGCAGCUGCUUCCUAUGUGCAUGGUGAGGAACUGACUCAGCCUGCUUCCAUGACAGUCCAGCCAGGCCAGAGUCUCUCCAUCAACUGCAAGGUUUCAUAUUCAGUUACAAGCUAUGAUACAGCUUGGAUCCAACAACCUGCAGGAAAAGCUCUGGAGUGGAUUGGAGUGGUGUGGAUCGGAUGGAUAUGUUAUGAUGGUAGCACUGGCUACAGUGAGAAACUGAAAAGCAGGUUUCAGAUUUCCAGAGACACGUCCAGCAGCACAGUAACAUUAACAGGGCAGAACAUGCAGACUGAAGACACAGCUGUGUAUUACUGCGCUCGUCAACCACAGUGA